rnacentral:misc_RNA from 2 species
AACGCACAUUGCGCCCGCUAGUAUUCUGGCGGGCAUGCCUGUCUGAGCGUCAUUUCAACCCUCGCCCCCGGCUUUUGCUGGGAGCGGUGUUGGGGAUCGGCCGCCCGUCACUGGGAGGCCGGCCCCGAAAUAGAGUGGCGACCACGCCGUGUGCUCCUCUGCGUAGUAGUAAAUCACCUCGCAGGCGGACAGCGGUGCGGCCUGCCGUAAAACCCCCAACUCUUUCUGGUUGACCUCAGAUCAGGUAGGAAUACCCGCUGAACUUAA